GCAGUUUGAUCUCAGACUGCUGUGCUAGCAAUCAGCGAGACUCCAUGGGCGUAGGACCCUCGGAGCCAGGUGCGGGAUGUAAUCUCGUGGUGCGCCGUUUUUUAAGCCCGUCGGAAAAGCGCAAUAUUCGGGUGGGAGUGACCCGAUUUUCCAGGUAGAGACACUUUUGACUUGAUCUCUGCAGUCCUCAACAUGGUCGAAGUCUGAAAUCAAGUGUGAGCAGGGCCACAUGGGCCCAUUCUGAAGACCCGAAGGAGAGUCCCCCUUUCCCUCUUCCAGCGUCUGGCAGUCCUAGGCCUUCUUUGGUUGACGGCAGCCUCACUUCCAUCUGUGCCUGUGACUCACAUAGCCCUCUUCUCAAAGUCUCUGACUUUCUCUUCUCUUAAAAGAACACCUCGGCUGGGUGUGGUGGCACACGCCUGUAAUCCCAGCACUUUGGGAGCCCCAGGCAGGUGAUCUGCCUGCCUCGGCCUCCCAAAGUGCUAGGAUUAUAGGCAUGAGCCACAGCAUGGGGCCCAGUUUCAAUCUUUUACCAAUGAAAACCUGAACACAAAACAAUAAUUCUUAACCAAUCAUGAUGAAACACAGUAACUUUUUUUUUUAAUAAAAGGAAGAAGAAAGUGUUGAAAAUUGACAUCUAUGUUUACAUAUCACAGCAACACAAAGUGCCAGCAAAAAAAAAAAAAGUGGAAAAAUGAAAGUAUCUUGGCCCCAUGAGUUUUGCUCUGCUUCCCACUGUCAUUUAUUCAGUACAUGUGUCACUAGAUCCAGGACUUGCUCUAGAAGUUGGAGGAAGUCAAUGGCACUGUGAGAAACGUGAAUUACCAAGGGACUCUGUCAUGUCCUUCGUUACUCAUGUGACUUCCUUACAUGAAAGGAAAAUAGAUCCUGGGGCCUCCAAAUCACUCAGCUAAAGGGAAAAGUCAAGCUGGAUCUGCUUAGGGCAAACCUGCCUCCCAUUUAUUCAAAGUCAUCCCACUCUUCACUGAGAUAAAUGCAUAUCUGAUGGCCUCCUUUGGAAAGGCUCAUCAGAAACUCAGAAGAAUGCAACCAUUUGUCUCUUAUCUACCUAUGACCUGGAAUUUCAGUAUUAAACCAAUGUUUAUCUUGCAUAUAUUGAUUGAUGUCUCAUAUCUCUGUAGAGACUACAUGAAAAUUUUGUUGUUGAAAUAAUUCGUUGUACUGAGCUUCAAUUGAAAUGCUUAAAUACCUUGAAAACAUUUCCAUUUUUGCCUUUACUCAAAUCAGGUGGUGGCUACUUUCUAAUGAAUGCAAAUCCCAGUAUGUGAAAAGUGUGGGUUAGGACAAUAAAAGGGGAGGUGACACCAUUUUAAUGGUUUCUCAGAAGCUGUGCUCCGAUGUCCUUGGGCACAUGUCAUCAGUACCUCCUGAGGUUAUGUCACAGGUGCAUGUCCUUAACUUUGGCAAAAUAAACUUCCUAAAUUAACUGAGAUCUGUCUCAGAUAUUCAGGCUUCAGAGCUAUGCCAGCUAACCCCUUAUGCUGAAAACGAGGACUUAGAAGGAAAGGGCAAGAGAGCCAGACUUGCUUUUUCCUUUUUUUUUUUUUUUUUUAAGUCUUUCCUUAUUCAUCAAUAAGCCAAAAGUAGAGGUUGUUAGUAGAAAAUGUGUGCACCAAGAAGUGAAAUAAAGA
rnacentral:lncRNA from 1 species